UACGGGGGGAGCAAGCGUUGUUCGGAUUUACUGGGCGUAAAGGGCGCGUAGGCGGCUCAGUAAGUCAGGUGUGAAAACUCCAGGCUCAACCUGGAGACGCCACCUGAUACUGCUGUGGCUAGAGUCCGGUAGGGGAGCAUGGAAUUCCUGGUGUAGCGGUGAAAUGCGCAGAUAUCAGGAGGAACACCAGUGGCGAAGGCGGUGCUCUGGGCCGGAACUGACGCUGAGGAGCGAAAGCGUGGGGAGCAAACAGG
rnacentral:rRNA from 1 species